rnacentral:tRNA from 1 species
ACCAGAAUGGCCGAGUGGUUAAGGCAUUAGACUUAAGUUCCAAUGGAUUUAUAUCCUCAUGAGUUCGAACCCACUUCUGGUA